rnacentral:rRNA from 1 species
UAUGUGAUCGUCUCUCGCAUAUCAAUAAGCGGAGGAAAAGAAACUAACAAGGAUUCCCCUAGUAACGGCGAGUGAAGCGGGAAGAGCUCAAAUUUGAAAUCUUAAAGGGUUUCCCUUUACGAAUUGUAGUUUAAAGAAGUGUUUUCUGUUGAGGUUUUGGUAAAAGUUCUUUGGAAUAGGACAUCAUAGAGGGUGAGAAUCCCGUAUUUGACCUUUACUUUCAACUUUGUGAUACACUUUCAAAGAGUCAGAUUGUUUGGGAAUGCAGUCCAAAAUGGGUGGUAAAUUUCAUCUAAAGCUAAAUAUUGGCGAGAGACCGAUAGCGGACAAGUACCGUGAGGGAAAGAUGAAAAGAACUUUGAAAAGAGAGUUAAACAGUACGUGAAAUUGUCAAAAGGGAAGCGUUUGACACCAGUGUUGUUUUUCUGAAAAUCAAUUAAAGAACUGUUUAUGCUAAGUUGUUUAGACUUUAUCAGCUAACUGUUUAGUUUUGAGCUUUUCUUUAAUGCACUUUUCAGUUAACAAGUCAACAUCAAUUUCUUUUGCUGUAAAAAAGCUUGAGGAAGGUGGCUUGAGAUUCGUCUUAAGUGUUUAUAGCCUCUUGCCUAUGCAGUCGGAGAGAUUGAGGUCUGCAGCGUAGAUCCUUCGGGGCUAAAUGCAUUUGUGCUAAGUUAUAGCAUUUUAUAGACAACUUGUUGACUAUGAUUUGUCUUGUAGCUUACUCGCUUAUGUUAUUUUACCUACGCUUAGGAUGUUGAUCUCUCACAGUCGAGC